rnacentral:rRNA from 1 species
AGCUGAGAGGUGGUGCAUGGCCGUCGUCAGUUCGUACUGUGAAGCAUCCUGUUAAGUCAGGCAACGAGCGAGACCCACGUCCACAGUUGCCAGCAUACCCUCCGGGGUGAUGGGUACACUGUGGAGACCGCCGCUGCUAAAGCGGAGGAAGGAGUGGGCAACGGUAGGUCAGUAUGCCCCGAAUCUCCCGGGCUACACGCGGGCUACAAUGGUUGGUACAAUGGGCAUCUACCCCGAAAGGGGAAGGAAAUCUCUUAAAGCCAAUCGUAGUUCGGAUUGAGGGCUGCAACUCGCCCUCAUGAAGCUGGAAUCCGUAGUAAUCGCGUUUCAACAGAACGCGGUGAAUACGUCCCUGCUCCUU